rnacentral:rRNA from 1 species
CCUACGGGUGGCAGCAGUGGGGAAUAUUGCACAAUGGGGGAAACCCUGAUGCAGCGACGCCGCGUGAGUGAGGAAGUAUUUCGGUAUGUAAAGCUCUAUCAGCAGGGAAGAAAAUGACGGUACCUGAGUAAGAAGCCCCGGCUAACGACGUGCCAGCAGCCGCGGUAAUACGUAGGGGGCAAGCGUUACCCGGAUUUACUGGGUGUAAAGGGAGCGUAGACGGCAGUGCAAGUCUGGAGUGAAAGGCGGGGGCUCAACCCCCGGACUGCUCUGGAAACUGUACGGCUGGAGUGCAGGAGAGGUAGGUGGAAUUCCUAGUGUAGCGGUGAAAUGCGUAGAUAUUAGGAGGAACACCAGUGGCGAAGGCGGCUUACUGGACUGUAACUGACGUUGAGGCUCGAAAGCGUGGGGAGCAAACAGGAUUAGAUACCCCAGUAGUC